UACGUAGGGUGCAAGCGUUGUCCGGAAUUAUUGGGCGUAAAGAGCUCGUAGGCGGUUUGUCGCGUCUGCUGUGAAAACUCAGGGCUUAACCCUGAGCUUGCAGUGGGUACGGGCAGACUAGAGUGCGGUAGGGGAGACUGGAAUUCCUGGUGUAGCGGUGAAAUGCGCAGAUAUCAGGAGGAACACCGGUGGCGAAGGCGGGUCUCUGGGCCGUAACUGACGCUGAGGAGCGAAAGCGUGGGGAGCGAACAGG
rnacentral:rRNA from 1 species